GACGAACGCUGGCGGCGUGCUUAACACAUGCAAGUCGAACGAAGAGGAGAACGGGUGAGUAAUACGUGGGUAACCUGCCCUCCUUUUUGGGAGACGCCUUGGAAACGGGGUCUAAAACCCAACAUAGGGGGAUGGGCUCGCGGCCUAUCAGCUUGUUGGUGGGGUGAUGGCCUACCAAGGCGUGGACGUGUAGCAGGCCUGAGAGGGUGACCGGCCACAUUGGGACUGAGAUACGGCCCAGACUCCUAGGGGAGGAAGCAGUGGGGGAGAUUGCACAAUGGGCGAAAGCCGGAUCCAGCCAUGCCGCGUGUGUGAAGAAGGUCUUCGGAUUGUAAAGCACUUUAAGUUGGGAGGCGUUACCAACAGAAUAAGCACCGGCUAACUUCGUGCCAGCAGCCGCGGUAAUUC
rnacentral:rRNA from 1 species